rnacentral:rRNA from 1 species
UGAACGCUGGCGGCGUGCCUAACACAUGCAAGUCGAGCGGAGUUAGAACUUCGGUUCUAAUUUAGCGGCGGACGGGUGAGGAACACGUGGAUAACCUGCCUUUAACUUAGGAAUAACGUUCAGAAAUGAACGCUAAUGCCUAAUAAGCUCACGACGCUGCAUAGCGAUGUGAGAAAAGAUUUAUCGGUUAAAGAGGGGUCCGCGGCUGAUUAGCUAGUUGGUAGGGUAACGGCCUACCAAGGCAACGAUCAGUAGCCGGGAUGAGAGUCUGGACGGCCACAUUGGGACUGAGACACGGCCCAAACUCCUACGGGAGGCAGCAGUGGGGAAUAUUGCGCAAUGGGCGAAAGCCUGACGCAGCAACGCCGCGUGAAGGAUGACGGUUUUCGGAUUGUAAACUUCUAUCGACAGGGAAGAAAAAAAUGACGGUACCUGAAUAAGAAGCACCGGCUAACUACGUGCCAGCAGCCGCGGUAAUACGUAGGGUGCAAGCGUUAUCCGGAAUUACUGGGUGUAAAGGGUGAGUAGGCGGNUAGAUAAGUCAUGUGUGAAAAUCCAGUGCUCAACAUUGGACCUGCACAAGAAACUGUUUAACUUGAGUACAGGAGAGGUAAGCGGAAUUCCUAGUGUAGCGGUGAAAUGCGUAGAUAUGAACGCUGGCGGCGUGCCUAACACAUGCAAGUCGAGCGGAGUUAGAACUUCGGUUCUAAUUUAGCGGCGGACGGGUGAGGAACACGUGGAUAACCUGCCUUUAACUUAGGAAUAACGUUCAGAAAUGAACGCUAAUGCCUAAUAAGCUCACGACGCUGCAUAGCGAUGUGAGAAAAGAUUUAUCGGUUAAAGAGGGGUCCGCGGCUGAUUAGCUAGUUGGUAGGGUAACGGCCUACCAAGGCAACGAUCAGUAGCCGGGAUGAGAGUCUGGACGGCCACAUUGGGACUGAGACACGGCCCAAACUCCUACGGGAGGCAGCAGUGGGGAAUAUUGCGCAAUGGGCGAAAGCCUGACGCAGCAACGCCGCGUGAAGGAUGACGGUUUUCGGAUUGUAAACUUCUAUCGACAGGGAAGAAAAAAAUGACGGUACCUGAAUAAGAAGCACCGGCUAACUACGUGCCAGCAGCCGCGGUAAUACGUAGGGUGCAAGCGUUAUCCGGAAUUACUGGGUGUAAAGGGUGAGUAGGCGGNUAGAUAAGUCAUGUGUGAAAAUCCAGUGCUCAACAUUGGACCUGCACAAGAAACUGUUUAACUUGAGUACAGGAGAGGUAAGCGGAAUUCCUAGUGUAGCGGUGAAAUGCGUAGAUAUGAACGCUGGCGGCGUGCCUAACACAUGCAAGUCGAGCGGAGUUAGAACUUCGGUUCUAAUUUAGCGGCGGACGGGUGAGGAACACGUGGAUAACCUGCCUUUAACUUAGGAAUAACGUUCAGAAAUGAACGCUAAUGCCUAAUAAGCUCACGACGCUGCAUAGCGAUGUGAGAAAAGAUUUAUCGGUUAAAGAGGGGUCCGCGGCUGAUUAGCUAGUUGGUAGGGUAACGGCCUACCAAGGCAACGAUCAGUAGCCGGGAUGAGAGUCUGGACGGCCACAUUGGGACUGAGACACGGCCCAAACUCCUACGGGAGGCAGCAGUGGGGAAUAUUGCGCAAUGGGCGAAAGCCUGACGCAGCAACGCCGCGUGAAGGAUGACGGUUUUCGGAUUGUAAACUUCUAUCGACAGGGAAGAAAAAAAUGACGGUACCUGAAUAAGAAGCACCGGCUAACUACGUGCCAGCAGCCGCGGUAAUACGUAGGGUGCAAGCGUUAUCCGGAAUUACUGGGUGUAAAGGGUGAGUAGGCGGNUAGAUAAGUCAUGUGUGAAAAUCCAGUGCUCAACAUUGGACCUGCACAAGAAACUGUUUAACUUGAGUACAGGAGAGGUAAGCGGAAUUCCUAGUGUAGCGGUGAAAUGCGUAGAUANNNNNNNNNNNNNNNNNNNNNNNNNNNNNNNNNNNNNNNNNNNNNNNNNNNNNNNNNNNNNNNNNNNNNNNNNNNNNNNNNNNNNNNNNNNNNNNNNNNNUUACCAAGGCUUGACAUGGAGAUGACCGGUAUAGAGAUAUACCUUUCCUUCGGGGACAUCUCACACAGGUGGUGCAUGGUYGUCGUCAGCUCGUGUCGUGAGAUGUUGGGUUAAGUCCCGCAACGAGCGCAACCCUUAUUUUUAGUAGCCAUCAGGUUAAGCUGGSCMCUCUAGAGAGACUSCCGUGGAUAACACGGAGKAAGGUGGGGAUGACGUCAAAUCAUCAURCCCUUUAUKCCUUGGKCAACWCACGUGCUACAAUGGCUGCAACAAAGUGACGCAAGMCGGCGACGUUAAGCAAACCACAAAAAAGCAGUCUCAGUUCGGAUUGUAGUYUGCAACUCGACUAUAUGAAGUCUGGAAUCGCUAGUAAUCGCGAAUCAGAAUGUCGCGGUGAAUACGUUCCCGGRCCUUGUACACACCGCCSGUCACMCCAUGGGAGUUGGAAACRCCSGAAGUCUGUGKCCGAACCCGUAAGGGACGGAGCAGCVGAAGGUGAAGCCAGCGAUCUA